CAAAUGUGUCAUAUGUCACUAAAAGCCGCACCUAGUUGAAAAAAACUAAACAGAGAAAACACUAGAUUUUCAAUCAGCAGCACAAGCAACCUGUUCUCACUGUCUGACUCGUGACAUAUGGACACAUGGUCAAGACCCGGCGUCAGUUUGUAACGCACUGGGGAUCCCUAUAGCGCCGUAGCUCAACACAAGAUGCUAGUAGGUGUCGUUAGGAUCAGCAGUUAUUGGAGCCCCCUGCGCCCGGUGUUCUCCAGUAUAAGAGCGCGUCUCUUGUUCUGCACUGUGGACUAGAGAGGAGGGAAACCCUGUUCCCUAUGCUCCACGCUCCUCGUUAUUUUUGUUUCUUUCACCAUACAACACUCCACUCACUAUUCCUUCAAGCAUGCAUACCUGCUGACAUGACUGACCUACUGAUUAUCACACUUCAUAUGAUUAUUUGAACAUUAAGUUGUUUCUGUUUGUGUAAAAAUAAAAGUAAUGGUACCUUUGCUGAA